CCUACGGGUGGCAGCAGUGGGGAAUAUUGCACAAUGGGCGCAAGCCUGAUGCAGCCAUGCCGCGUGUGUGAAGAAGGCCUUCGGGUUGUAAAGCACUUUCAGCGGGGAGGAAGGCGUUAAGGUUAAUAACCUUGGCGAUUGACGUUACCCGCAGAAGAAGCACCGGCUAACUCCGUGCCAGCAGCCGCGGUAAUACGGAGGGUGCAAGCGUUAAUCGGAAUUACUGGGCGUAAAGCGCACGCAGGCGGUCUGUCAAGUCGGAUGUGAAAUCCCCGGGCUCAACCUGGGAACUGCAUUCGAAACUGGCAGGCUAGAGUCUUGUAGAGGGGGGUAGAAUUCCAGGUGUAGCGGUGAAAUGCGUAGAGAUCUGGAGGAAUACCGGUGGCGAAGGCGGCCCCCUGGACAAAGACUGACGCUCAGGUGCGAAAGCGUGGGGAGCAAACAGGAUUAGAUACCCCUGAGUC
rnacentral:rRNA from 1 species